UCUUAAAUUUUCAACGAUGGAUAUCUAGGCUCCUAUACCGAUGAAGAACGCAGCGAAAUGCGAAACGCAAUGCGAAUUGCAGAACCGCGAGUCAUCAGAUCUUUGAACGCAAGUGGCG
rnacentral:rRNA from 1 species